CCUACGGGUGGCUGCAGUGGGGAAUAUUGGACAAUGGGGGCAACCCUGAUCCAGCCAUGCCGCGUGUGUGAAGAAGGCCCUCGGGUUGUAAAGCACUUUCAGUGAGGAAGAACGCCUGGUGGUUAAUACCCAUCAGGAAAGACAUCACUCACAGAAGAAGCACCGGCUAACUCCGUGCCAGCAGCCGCGGUAAUACGGAGGGUGCGAGCGUUAAUCGGAAUUACUGGGCGUAAAGCGCGCGUAGGUGGCUUGAUAAGCCGGUUGUGAAAGCCCCGGGCUCAACUUGGGAACGGCAUCCGGAACUGUCAAGCUAGAGUGCAGGAGAGGAAGGUAGAAUUCCCGGUGUAGCGGUGAAAUGCGUAGAGAUCGGGAGGAAUACCAGUGGCGAAGGCGGCCUUCUGGACUGACACUGACACUGAGGUGCGAAAGCGUGGGUAGCAAACAGGAUUAGAUACCCGAGUAGUC
rnacentral:rRNA from 1 species